rnacentral:lncRNA from 1 species
CCAGCCUCCAGAACUGUGGGCUAAAUUCUAUACAAAUUACUCAAUCUCUGGUAUUUCAUGAUAGCAACAGAAGACCACCAAAGACAUCAUCCAGAUUCAAGCCUGGAACAGAAAGCAUCAAUCUAGAAGGAGUGUAGGCUACAGGUGGCUUCAGCCUCAGCUGUGCCUUGCCUGGGGUCAUCAGUGACUUUCCUGUAUGGGACCUUUCUACGUACUACAGACCUGUGCCAUGUAAGGAUGUUUCAGUGAUGAUGGUCCUCCCUCCCAUAAA